rnacentral:rRNA from 1 species
CACGUAGGGGGCAAGCGUUGUCCGGAUUUAUUGGGCGUAAAGAGCUCGUAGGCGGCUCAGUAAGUCGGGUGUGAAACCUCCAGGCUCAACCUGGAGACGCCACCCGAUACUGCUGUGGCUUGAGUCCGGUAGGGGAGCGUGGAAUUCCUGGUGUAGCGGUGAAAUGCGCAGAUAUCAGGAGGAACACCAAUAGCGAAGGCAGCUUGCUGGGACGGUACUGACGCUAAGGCGCGAAAGCGUGGGGAGCGAACAGG